CCAACUACGGAGGAGAUUUAGCUCUUUCCACUAUGAGUUGCAUAAAAUAUACAAAAGUUAUGGAAGUCAUAAAAUGGCAUUAGCAAGAGGAACCGAGUUGGUGGAUGAAGUGGUUUGGAGGAAAUUAUGCAUUAAAUGGGGGAGUAAAGAGUUCAAGGCAUUGUCAUUGAAAAAUAAGUUGAAUAGGGAACAACUACGUACUAACCAUACAGUAGGAAGGAAGUCCUUCGUUUGAUUACUUGAAGAGAAGCGGGAGAGUGUGACAAAUCUGGUUGAUUUUUAUAAAGAGAGCCGAUGGUCGUGGAAGAAGAGAAAGUUCGUGACAAAUGUGACUGAAGAUAUCUAUAACCAAAUGGUGGAGAAGCUGAAUGCAAUGGAACUAGAAGCUCGAAUCAAGGA